rnacentral:rRNA from 1 species
AGAGUUUGAUCCUGGCUCAGGAUGAACGCUGGCUGUGUGCCUAAUACAUGCAUGUUGAACGAAGCUAAAAGUGCUUGCACUUUAAGACUUAGUAGCGAAUGGGUGAGUAACACGUACUUAACCUACCCCCAAGUUUGGGAUAACGUUUGGAAACGAACGCUAAUACCGAAUACGUAUUUUUAUCGCAUGAUAGAAAUAUAAAAGGAGCUUCGGCUUCGCUAGGGGAUGGGAGUGCGCUACAUUAGUUAGUUGGUAGGGUAAUGGCCUACCAAGACUAUGAUGUAUAGCGGGGCCGAGAGGCUGAUCCGCCACACUGGGACUGAGAUACGGCCCAGACUCCUACGGGAGGCAGCAGUAGGGAAUUUUCCACAAUGAACGAAAGUUUGAUGGAGCGACACAGCGUGCAGGAUGAAGGUCUUCGGAUCAUAAACUGCUGUUAUAAGGGAAGAAAAACUUUAGUAGGUAAUGACUAGAACUUGACGGUACCUUAUCAGAAAGCGACGGCUAACUAUGUGCCAGCAGCCGCGGUAAU